AUAUUUGUGUUUGUGGCAAUGAAAAAGCUAGUGAGGUGAAACUGAGGCAUGUCAAUUGUUGGUUGAAAACUAUUUCCAAUUCGCCAACAAUUAAAAUUUAAAUUUGGAUCUUCUGUGCGCUCAUGAUCCCUUUGUUUUAACCCUAGAUAGUGAG
rnacentral:snRNA from 1 species